AUCCGGCUGACGAGUCCUAAAUGGGACGAAACGCGCAUCCUGGAU
rfam:Schistosoma haematobium scaffold1233_18, whole genome shotgun sequence.